rnacentral:rRNA from 1 species
ACCUGGGCUCGAACGGCUAGUGACAGGUGGCGAAAGUCGCUUUUCCCGCAAGGGACACUAGUCGAGGUGCUGCAUGGCUGUCGUCAGCUCGUGUCGUGAGAUGUUGGGUUAAGUCCCGCAACGAGUGCAACCCCUGCCUUUAGUUGCCACCAGGUUAAGCUGAGCACUCUAAAGGGACUGCCGGUGAAAAACCGGAGGAAGGUGGGGAUGACGUCAAGUCCUCAUGGCCUCUAUGUCCAGGGCUACACACGUACUACAAUGGGCGGCACAAUGAGUCGCAAACCCGCGAGGGGGAGCCAAUCUCAAAAAACCGCUCUCAGUUCGGAUUGCAGUCUGCAACUCGACUGCAUGAAGCUGGAAUCGCUAGUAAUCGCUGAUCAGCAAGCAGCGGUGAAUACGUUCCCGGGCCUUGUACACACCGA